rnacentral:miRNA from 1 species
UCACCGGGAACUCAUUCAUGC